rnacentral:rRNA from 1 species
GACAGAGGCCUCAAGCGUUAGGCGGAAUCACUGGGCUUAAAGCGUGUGUAGGCGGAUCGUUAAGUACCUUGUGAAAUUCCACGGCUCACCCGUGGAACUGCUGGGUAUACUGGCGAUCUUGGGCCAACUAGGGGCAGCUGGAACAAGCGGUGGAGCGGUGAAAUGCGUAGAUAUCGCUUGGAACGCCGAAGGUGAAAACAGGCUGCUGGGGUUGUGCCGACGCUGAGACACGAAAGCCAGGGGAGCAAACGGG